rnacentral:rRNA from 1 species
UACGGAGGGGGCUAGCGUUGUUCGGAAUUACUGGGCGUAAAGCGCGCGUAGGCGGACCUGCAAGUCGGGGGUGAAAGCCCGAGGCUCAACCUCGGAACUGCCUUCGAUACUGCGGGUCUCGAGUCCGGGAGAGGUGAGUGGAAUUCCGGGUGUAGCGGUGGAAUGCGUAGAGAUCCGGAAGAACACCGGUGGCGAAGGCGGCCUGCUGGGCAGUGGCUGACGCUGAGGCGCGACAGCGUGGGUAGCAAACAGG